GGCGGUGGCAGCCGGGGGCCGGGCCGGGGCGCGGGCGGGGCAGCUCAGCUCGGCCCGGCCCGCCGCGGGGGCAGUCCUGCCGUGCCCCGCCGGCCCCGGGAGCCGCUGCCGUUCCGUCCCGUGCCGGCCGAGGGCGUUUUGGAGCCUUAGGGAAGCCAGUGCGUCCCCUCCCCAUUGGAGGCCGUGGAAGAUGGGUUUCCUGGGCAAGCUGGCCGCGCUGCCAAAACUUAGCGGUGUGGUGGCGGGCCGGGGCGGUGGUGCCUGGCGGCGGCCGGGCCGGCCCUGUGCGGGCGUCCCGCUCCCGGCCCGGGCCACCGCCACCCUCCGCCCGCCGCCCGGCGGCCGCGCCGCCUCCUCCCGGGCGCUCGGCAAGUACGAGGAAGUUUUUCGGUCCUGCCUGGCGGAGCCCGAGAAGGUCUGGGGAGAAGUCGCCGAGCAGAUCCAGUGGUACAAGCCCUGGGUGCGGACCCUGGAGAGGGACAGCCUGGGCAGCGCCUCCUGGUUUGUAGGUGGAGAGCUGAAUAUCUGUUACAACGCUGUAGAUCGUCAUGUUGAGAAUGGACGAGGAGACCAAAUUGCCAUUAUUUAUGACAGUCCUGUAACAAAUACCAAGGACAAAAUAACAUAUAAGGAACUUCUGGAACAGGUCUCCAAGUUAGCUGAUGUCAUGAUCAAACAUGGUGUGAAGAAAGGAGAUCGUGUGGUCAUCUACAUGCCCAUGAUUCCACAGACAAUGUACUGUAUGCUGGCUUGUGCGAGAAUAGGAGCCAUCCAUAGCCUGAUUUUUGGUGGAUUUGCAUCUAAAGAGCUUUCAGUUCGCAUUGAUCAUGCAAAGCCCAAACUUAUUGUAACAGCAAGUUUUGGAGUAGAACCAAAAAGGAAAGUGGAAUACAUACCUCUCCUAGAAGCAGCACUGGCAAGGGUACAGAGCAAACCUCAUAAAGUUCUCGUUUACCAGCGACCUAAUUUGGGCCAUGUUCCUCUUACCAAAGGUCGUGAUCUGGACUGGGAAGAAGAGCUUGCAAAAGCCCAGUGUUCAAAAUGUGUCUCUGUUCCCUCAGACCAUCCACUUUAUAUUCUGUAUACAUCUGGAACAACAGGUUUGCCCAAGGGUGUUGUGAGACCAACUGGUGGCUAUGCAGUUAUGCUGAACUGGACCAUGUCAGCUGUAUAUGGCCUCAAACCUGGUGAGGUAUGGUGGGCAGCUUCUGAUUUAGGCUGGGUUGUUGGUCAUUCCUACAUUUGCUAUGGACCUCUCCUUCAUGGUAAUACUACAGUUUUGUAUGAGGGGAAGCCUGUGGGAACGCCAGAUGCUGGUGUCUAUUUCCGUGUGCUAGCAGAGCAUGAAGUAGCUGCCUUCUUUACUUCACCAACUGCAAUUAGAGCAAUCCGUCAGCAGGACCCUGAGGCAGCCUUAGGAAAGCAGUACUCGCUGAAAAGGUUCAGAAUGAUGUUUGUAGCUGGUGAGCACUGUGAUGUGGACACGCUAGAAUGGGCAAAAAGAGUCUUCAAGGUACCUGUCUUGGACCACUGGUGGCAAACAGAAUCUGGUUCUGCAAUUACGGCUUCCUGCAUUGGUUUGGGGAACUCUACAACACCUCCACCCGGACAGGCGGGAAAACCGGUGCCAGGAUAUAAUGUCAUGAUUCUGGAUGAAAAUAAGAAACCAGUGAAGGCAAAGACUUUGGGAAAUAUUGUGGUAAAGUUGCCUUUGCCUCCUGGAGCAUUCUCAGGUCUUUGGGAAAAUCAAGAAACAUUUCAGAAAUUGUAUUUCCAAAAGUUUCCAGGAUAUUAUGAUACUAUGGAUGCUGGUUAUGUGGAUGAAGAUGGCUAUCUGUAUGUGCUGUCUCGAGCUGAUGAUGUGAUCAAUGUUGCUGGACACAGAAUUUCUGCAGGUGCAAUUGAAGAGUGUAUUCUCUUCCAUCCCGCUGUGGCAGACUGUGCUGUUGUGGGCCAGGAGGAUCCUUUAAAAGGGCAUGUUCCAUUUGCACUGUGUGUACUGAAAGGAGGUAUAAAGACACAAGAGAGUAAGAUUUUGGAAGAGAUUGUUGAGCGAGUUCGGACCAACAUUGGUCCAGUAGCAGCUUUCCAGAAGGGGAUGUUUGUGACACAGCUACCAAAAACACGCUCUGGCAAGAUCCCACGUUCUGCUCUUUCUGCCCUCAUCAGUGGAAAGCCAUACAAGUUCACUGCAGCUUGACAGCAUUUACCUUUUUCACCCUGAUGGUUUCUUUGCUAUGGACUAGCUGCUUCCAGCUGUCAUUCAUAUAUUUUUGGAAUGCUGCUUCUCCAUUUGUUUUUACAAAUCCUCUUUUGAACUCUUCACAGCUCUCCCAGACUCGAUUCACCCUAGUUAAAUGAACAAAGUCGUGGUGGUGCGAGACAGACAUAGGUUAAAAGUCAACUUGGCACGCUAGGCCGAGCCUCGUACUUUCCAAGAGGAAGUGC